rnacentral:ncRNA from 1 species
AAUCCGGUUGAUCCUGCCGGACCUUACUGCUAUCGGGAUGGGACUAAGCCAUGCAAGUCGUGCGCUCUCAAGCUAUGUUGAGGGCGCGGCGAACGGCUCCGUAACACGUAGUUAACCUACCCUCGGGACGGGGAUAACCCCGGGAAACUGGGAUUAAUACCCGCUAGAUGAUUCUGCCUGGAAUGGCUUAUCAUUGAAAGGUGCUGGGAACAUGCUUCCAGCGUCGCCCGAGGAUGGGACUGCGUCCGAUCAGGUUGUUGGCGGGGUAACGGCCCACCAAGCCUAUAACCGGUACGGGCCCUGAGAGGGGGAGCCCGGAGAUGG